UACGGAGGGUGCAAGCGUUAUCCGGAUUCACUGGGUUUAAAGGGUGCGUAGGUGGGCAGGUAAGUCAGUGGUGAAAUCUCCGGGCUUAACCCGGAACUGCCGUUGAUACUAUCUGUCUUGAAUACUGUGGAGGUAAGCGGAAUAUGUCAUGUAGCGGUGAAAUGCUUAGAUAUGACAUAGAACACCAAUUGCGAAGGCAGCUUACUACACAGUUAUUGACACUGAGGCACGAAAGCGUGGGGAGCGAACAGG
rnacentral:rRNA from 1 species